rnacentral:misc_RNA from 1 species
ACACCUCAACUCUCACGGCUUGCCGUGACGAGCUUGGACUUUGGGGGUCUUGUUGGCGUUUGAGCCAGCUCCUCUUAAAUGAAUCAGCUUGCCGGUGUUUGGUGGCAUCAUGGGUGUGAUAACUAUCUACGCUUGUGGUUUCCCACCGGGUAACCUUCAGCAAUGGAGGUUCACUGGGGCUUAUAAAUAUCUCGCCUCGGUGAGGACAGAUUUUGACC